rnacentral:rRNA from 1 species
UCCAGACUCCUACGGGAGGCAGCAGUGAGGAAUAUUGGUCAAUGGGCUUACGCCUGAACCAGCCAAGUCGCGUGAGGGAAGACUGCCCUAUGGGUUGUAAACCUCUUUUGUCAGGGAGCAACGCCGGCUACGCGUAGCCGGACUGAGAGUACCUGAAGAAAAAGCAUCGGCUAACUCCGUGCCAGCAGCCGCGGUAAUACGGAGGAUGCGAGCGUUAUCCGGAUUUAUUGGGUUUAAAGGGUGCGUAGGCGGAAUGCCAAGUCAGCGGUAAAAUCGCGGGGCUCAACCUCGCUCCGCCGUUGAAACUGGCGUUCUUGAGUGGGCGAGAAGUAUGCGGAAUGCGUGGUGUAGCGGUGAAAUGCGUAGAUAUCACGCAGAACUCCGAUUGCGAAGGCAGCAUACCGGCGCCCAACUGACGCUGAAGCACGAAAGCGUGGGUAUCGAACAGGAUUAGAUACCCUUGUAU